CCGUACAGCGCAGGCGUAGUCCCGUGGUAACCCGGUCACCUUGGAGCAUUAGGAUGUUCACCAAAAGCCGUCUCCGCUUCGGUCGGCUCUUCUCUCUCCCGGCCCUUAAAGGGUCUGGGGACCAAGCAAGCACCCAAUGUAGCGUUUGGCUCUCUCCUCCUCUCGUUCGCCCAAGCCUGUCGUCCCUUCUAGAUCAAAGUCAGUCGCUGGGGCCAGAAGUCUGGGAAAGCCGGCUCUUUGAGUACACGCCCCCUCCACUGCAAAGACAGUAUUGGUUCCUAAUGAAAGCAGUUCUUCGUCGGGCGCUCGUAACCAAGAAAAAGUGGCCAACUAAAUCCCUCGAAACGCAAGUUUGGGCCUGGAAAACCCAGUAGUAAGUGCAGAUUUGCUAGUCCUUAAGGACCUGGAGAGGACUCCGUUUCCCAGGACCUGACAGUGGUGAAGUCCUGGCUGUAAUUUAGAAAAACGUCCAAUCGGCGUUUUAAAAAAGACUGCCCUUGGCCUUGCCCUGAGCGCUGAAAGUCAGUCGGAUUGACUGGGAAGCCAUGGAAGCUGCUGGGAAAGAGGAAAUCAGUGUUGAAGGUGAAGCUGUGGAUAAAAACAUUUUCAAAGAUUGCAGCAAGAUUGCUUUCUACAGGCGUCAGAAACAGCAGCUCUCCAGGAGAGCCACCUAUCAGGCAUCACUAGACUCAGCCACAAUAGGCAAAGACAGCACCAAGUUCCAAAUCAUCAGUGAAACAACCAAGGUUUCUCUUCUGGCUGAAGUUUAUGGUAUAGAGGGAAAUAUUUUCAGGCUUAAAAUCAAUGAAGAAACUCCCGUGAAACCCAGGUAUGAAGUUCCUGAUGUCCUCACAAGCAAGCCCAGCACUGUAAGGCUGAUUUCAUGUUCAGGGGAUGCAGAUAGUUUGGUAUUGACAGAUGGAAAAGGAGAUCUGAAGUGUAAUAUCACAGCAAACCCAUUCAAGAUAGAUUUGGUGUCUGAAGAAGAGGUUGUGAUGAGCAUAAACUCCCUGGGCCAGUUGUACUUCGAGCACCUGCAGAUUCCUCUCAAGCAAAGAGCUGCCAAAGAAAAUAAGAAGGACACAUCAGUGGACGCUUCUCAGGAAGACCAAGAGGAUCUGGGCCUGUGGGAGGAGAAAUUCGGAAAAUUUGUGGAUGUCAAAGUUAAUGGUCCUGCCUCCAUUGGUUUGGAUUUCUCCUUGCAUGGAUUUGAGCAUCUCUAUGGGAUCCCGCAACAUGCAGAAUCACACCAACUUAAAAAUACGAGUGAUGGCGAUGCUUACCGUCUUUAUAACCUGGAUGUCUAUGGAUAUAAAAUACAUGACAAAAUAGGCAUUUAUGGUUCAGUGCCUUAUCUCCUGGCCCACAAACUUGGCAGGACUCUAGGCAUUUUUUGGCUCAAUGCUUCCGAAACACUGGUGGAGAUCAAUACAGAGCCUGCAGUAAAGUACACACAGACCCAGAUGGGCCCUGUUGCAGCUAAACAAAAGGUCAGAUGUCGAACUGAUGUGCACUGGAUGUCAGAGAGUGGAAUCAUUGAUGUUUUUCUGCUGACAGGACCUACGCCUUCUGACGUUUUCAAGCAGUACUCAUACCUUACAGGCACACAAGCCAUGCCCCCUCUCUUCUCCUUGGGGUACCAUCAGUGCCGCUGGAACUAUGAGGACGAGCAGGAUGUAAAAGAGGUGGAUGCAGGAUUUGAUGAACAUGACAUUCCUUAUGAUGUCAUGUGGCUCGACAUAGAGCAUACUGAGGGCAAAAGGUACUUCACUUGGGACAAGAAAAGAUUUCCAAACCCCAAAAGGAUGCAAGAGCUGCUCAGAAGCAAAAACCGUAAGCUUGUGGUCAUCAGUGACCCCCACAUCAAGAUCGAUCCUAACUACUCAGUGUAUGUUAAGGCCAAAGAACAGGGCUUCUUUGUGAGGAAUCAUGAAGGAGGAGACUUUGAAGGAGUAUGCUGGCCUGGUCUCUCCUCUUACCUGGAUUUCACCAAUCCCAAGGUCAGAGAGUGGUAUUCAGGUCUUUUCACUUUCUCUGCUUAUCAGGGAUCUACUGACAUCCUCUACAUAUGGAACGACAUGAAUGAGCCCUCUGUCUUUAGAGGGCCAGAGCUAACCAUGCAGAAGAAUGCCAUUCAUCAUGGCAAUUGGGAGCACAGGGAACUGCACAACAUCUAUGGUUUUUAUCAGCAAAUGGCUACCGCAGAAGGACUAAUACAACGAUCUAAGGGAAAGGAGAGACCCUUUGUUCUUACACGUUCUUUCUUUGCUGGAUCACAAAAGUAUGCUGAUGUAGGCGGCUUCGUCGGGAAUCCAGAGGCGGAGCUGCUAGUGCGAUGGUACCAGGCUGGGGCCUACCAGCCCUUCUUCCGUGGCCACGCUGCCAUGAACACCAAGCGGCGGGAACCCUGGCUCUUUGGGGAGGAACACACCCGGCUCAUCCGAGAAGCCAUCCGGCAGCGGUACACCCUCCUGCCCUAUUGGUAUUCUCUGUUCUACCGCGCGCAUGUGGCUGCUCAGCCCGUCAUGAGACCUCUGUGGAUAGAGUUCCCAGAGGAACUAGACACUUUCGGGGUGGAAGAUGAAUACAUGCUGGGAAGUGCUUUAUUGGUUCAUCCAGUCACAGAACCAAAAGCCAGCACAGUUGAUGUGUUUCUGCCAGGAUCAAAUGAGGUCUGGUAUGACUAUAAAACAUUUGCUCAUUGGGCAGGGGCACGUACUGUGAAGAUCCCGGUAGCCUUAGACACCAUACCGGUAUUUCAGCGAGGUGGAAGUAUAGUACCAAUAAAGACGACUAUAGGAAAAUCCACAGGCUACAUGACUGAUUCCCCAUAUGGACUCCGAGUGGCUCUAAGCACUAAGGAUUCUGCCAUGGGUGAAUUCUAUCUCGACGACGGCCAUUCAUUCCAAUACCUCCACCAGAAGCAAUUCUUGCAUAGGAAGUUUUCAUUCUUGUCAGGUGUUUUGAUCAACAGUUGUGCCGACAAAAGAGGUCAUUAUCCCAGCAAGUGUGUGGUGGAGCAGAUCUUUGUCCUAGGCCUCAAGAAGCAGCCAUCUUCUGUGACCACCCGUUCAUCUGAUGGUAAAGAUGAGCCUGUGGCUUUUACAUAUUGUGCCCAAAUGUCCACCCUGCGGCUGGAAAAGCUGUCGCUGAACAUCGGCGCUGACUGGGAGGUCCACGUCCGAUGAUGGUGCAGUGUACCCGGGGCGAGCGUGGGAAGCAGCCUGCACCUUUCAGCCUUGCCCUUGGCCUCUUCUGAGAUCUGUGCUGCAUGCUAAUUGACUUCUCUGGCUAAAAAGUAUCCAUUGAUCAGCAGCUUACUAAUGAGAAUAGACUUCAGGUUUUACAUUUUUAGAGGCUCCGAUAUGGCUUGGCAUGGGCUAGAACAUUCCAACAGCCCAGUCCCUCAGGAGCCGCCGGGGACCGCCCGCGGCCGGCUGCAGCAUCUGUGGGGCGACCCCGAGUCCUCGGCGCUCCUACACCAGUGCGCGUUUUCACGUGUCCUUCACCCAGCAGCUUGCCGACUGCCACUUCUGUGCCUUGUGGUCCCUGGGCCGCCGUACCCACCCCCUUCCCCCCCAAUGCAAACCUUACCAUCCCUUCAGGCCCCACCCAAAUGCCGCUGUUCCACUAAGCCUUUCUAACUACCCUAAAGACCCCGAGCCCCUGUACCCGUGAGCAGUGAUGUUGCCCAUCUGUGAAAUGUUGCUGCACUUACAAUGUGUGUUCUACUUCGCAUUCUCAGGGGUGGUCCCUUAACGUUUCAGUCUUGUCUGUCUUGUUGCCUGGCUAGAGUGCAUGUUCCUUAAGAGCACGUUACAUUUGUCUUCUGUCGGCCAGAGCAGCGUUAUCCUUGGCUUUCACCAACUAUUGGCUACAAGUGGUUAUCUGAUGAAUUUGGUUGAUUAAAAAAUGAGAAUUGGGGCGCUUGGGUGGCUCAGCCGUUGAGCGUCUCCCUUCGGCUCAGGUCAU